rnacentral:rRNA from 1 species
GACGAACGCUGGCGGCGUGCUUAACACAUGCAAGUCGAACGGAAAGGCCCUGCUUUUGUGGGGUGCUCGAGUGGCGAACGGGUGAGUAACACGUGAGUAACCUGCCCUUGACUUUGGGAUAACUUCAGGAAACUGGGGCUAAUACCGGAUAGGAGCUCCUGCUGCAUGGUGGGGGUUGGAAAGUUUCGGCGGUUGGGGAUGGACUCGCGGCUUAUCAGCUUGUUGGUGGGGUAGUGGCUUACCAAGGCUUUGACGGGUAGCCGGCCUGAGAGGGUGACCGGCCACAUUGGGACUGAGAUACGGCCCAGACUCCUACGGGAGGCAGCAGUGGGGAAUAUUGCACAAUGGGCGGAAGCCUGAGGCAGCAACGCCGCGUGCGGGAUGACGGCCUUCGGGUUGUAAACCGCUUUCGCCUGUGACGAAGCGUUAGUGACGGUAAUGGGUAAAGAAGCACCGGCUAACUACGUG